GUAAGCUGGGCAAUCGCGUACAUUAGUAUGAGGAAAGUCCGGGCUUCACAGGGCAGGGUGCCUGCUAACGGCAGGUGGAGGCGACUCUAAGGAAAGUGCAACAGAAAAGAAACGCCGAUUUAUCGGUAAGUGUGAAAAUGUGAGGUAAGAGCUCACAGGCGGUAUAGGUAACUAUACGGCGGUGUAAACCCCACCCGAAGCAACUUUGGGAAUGUUAAGGCGGCCCGCCAUUUUCCCUUGCAAGGCUUGAUACCAUCGGUGACGAUUGGUACAGAUAGAUGAUUGUCCACGACAGAACCCGGCUUAUAGGCUUGCUUU
rnacentral:RNase_P_RNA from 1 species